AGCCUGCGGGACAUCAGGGCCGCGAGACCUGGAAGGAGCAGGACUCUUGGAGAGGCAGAUGGUCUCGGUUGCUGCCGGACGGGCGCUGGCGGCCCCUGUCCUGGCCACAGUCCUGGGUAUGAUAGUCCUCCCCGCGGGCAGCCGCGGAUGCUCCCUAGCGCCCCUGUCCUCUUGCGACGCGGCUGCCCUGUGCUUCACCCGGUUCCGAGGCUCCUGGCAGAAGGUGGCGACAGGUGCGGACGCGGAGCCAUGACCGCGCUGCCGCGAUCCAAGGCGGUUUAGUGCCCCCCCCCCCCCCGCCCGGUCUGUUGGUCAGGUUGGGAACUCUCCACGCCUCUCUUGGUCCCUCUAUGCUCACCUGCCUUUCCCCGAACUGGAGUUCCUAGUGUGACUCCCAGAGCCCUCUGCAGAGUCUCCGAAACGUCCAGCAGUGCGUGUGGCCCCCAGGCGCCCGUGGAGGAGGGCUGCGGCUCAGCAGGACCAGGUGCUUGCAGUCGGCGGGGAAGUGGGAAUUGUGCCGACAGCAGAGCGCGAGGGGACAUGGGAACCCUGGCGGCCGGGUGCAGAACUAGGAGAAGGAUGAAAUAGAGGGGAGGCCCUACUUAGCUGAUGGAGGAGGACACUGUGGGCUGAUGGCCCUGGGCUCACAGCUUAUGGAACCCAGGACCUUGUGCAUACAAGUCAAGCACUCCCAACUGAGCUGCAUCCCAGCCCCAGCAUGCGCUUUGGAUGGACUAAAGCCAGGGGAAAGGUGCUGUUGGAGACUUACAUGGUGUAUCCCAGGUGUUGAUGUCAGCCUGGAUGUCCCCGAAAGAAGCAGGCACGUGACCUGCCCUGUGUUCCGUGGUUAAGAGGAUUGAGGUCACCGGCUGAGGUCACCCCACCCACUUCUCAUGUUCACUGUUCACCGAAUUUCCUUUAAAAAGAAGAGCCCAAGACCCCCAAAGAGCAGCUACGGCUGAGUGGCCCCACCCUUCUUCUGCAUGUGUGUCCCGUUCCAUUGCUUGCUUUACUGAAUAAAGCUUGCUCUCCUAAAUAAAU